UAGGGAAUCUUCCGCAAUGGACGAAAGUCUGACGGAGCAACGCCGCGUGAGUGAAGAAGGAUUUCGGUUCGUAAAACUCUGUUGUUAGGGAAGAAAAAAUGUAUAGUAACUAUAUACAAAAGAGACGGUACCUAACCAGAAAGCCACGGCUAACUACGUGCCAGCAGCCGCGGUAAUACGUAGGUGGCAAGCGUUGUCCGGAAUUAUUGGGCGUAAAGCGCGCGCAGGUGGGUUAGAAAGUCUGAUGUGAAAGCCCACGGCUCAACCGUGGGGGGACAUUGGAAACUAAUAAUCUUGAGUGCAGGAGAGAAAAGUGGAAUUCCUAGUGUAGCGGUGAAAUACGUAGAGAUUAGGAGGAACACCGGUGGCGAAAGCGGCUUUUUGGCCUGCAACUGACACUGAGGCGCGAAAGCGUGGGGAGCAAACAGG
rnacentral:rRNA from 1 species